rnacentral:rRNA from 1 species
GACGAACGCUGGCGGCGUGCUUAACACAUGCAAGUCGAGCGGUAAGGCCCUUUCGGGGGUACGACGAGCGGCGAACGGGUGAGUAACACGUGGGUGACCUGCCCUCCAGCUCUGGGAGUAAGCCUGGGAAACCGGGGUCUAAUACUGGAUAUGACUCCAUGACGCAUGUUGUGGGGUGGGAAAGCCUUGUGCGGCUGAGGAUGGGCCCGCGGCCUAUCAGCUUGUUGGUGGGGUGAUGGCCUACCAAGGCGACGACGGGUAGCCGGCCUGAGAGGGCGACCGGCCACACUGGGACUGAGACACGGCCCA